CAUGCGCUGGUGGAUGGCAAGGAGCUCGUUGCCAGAUAGAGCCUGUUCAGUGUCAGAAGCCAUGUAUGAACGGUGGAGUGUGUGUGGGCUUCAACAGGUGCCGCUGUGCCAAAGGAUUUACAGGAAGUCUCUGUGAAACAGCGGUGACCACCCCCUGUGUGCCACCCUGCCGGCAUGGAGCCACCUGCAGUCCCCA